UCCUAAGGUGAGCUCAAUGAGAACGGAAAUCUCAUGUAGAACAAAAGGGUAUAAGCUCAUUUGAUUUUUAGUUGGCAUCGCUUAAUAUACAUGUAGGAAACAGU